rnacentral:rRNA from 1 species
CCUACGGGUGGCAGCCGUGUGGAAUAUUUUUCCCUUUUCUCCCUCCUUCCCCCGCCCCGCCGCGUGCCGGAAGAAGGCUUUCGGGUUGUAAACUUCUUUUCUCAGGGACGAAGCAAGUGACGGUACCUGAGGAAUAAGCCACGGCUAACUACGUGCCAGCAGCCGCGGUAAUACGUAGGUGGCAAGCGUUAUCCGGAUUUACUGGGUGUAAAGGGCGUGUAGGCGGGACUGCAAGUCAGAUGUGAAAACCACGGGCUCAACCUGUGGCCUGCAUUUGAAACUGUAGUUCUUGAGUACUGGAGAGGCAGACGGAAUUCCUAGUGUAGCGGUGAAAUGCGUAGAUAUUAGGAGGAACACCAGUGGCGAAGGCGGUCUGCUGGACAGCAACUGACGCUGAGGCGCGAAAGCGUGGGGAGCAAACAGGAUUAGAUACCCGGGUAGUC